GGACUGUAUUUAUACCUACUCUUGAAAGAAGUAGGGUGGUUGUAAUUGCAUUGCAUUGCAUUGUCACUACUUUACUUGUUUAAGGAGAUUAUUAUGAUAAGCUAAAAUUAUUCUUAUCAUUAUUACUUUUACCUUUUUUUAUUAUCAUUUGAUAAAUACUUAUUUGGUACUUUAUCUUUUAUCAAAAUAUACACUCUGUACCCUUUAUUUUGGAUAAUGAUGAAUUAGUUCUCUUUAUUUGUAAACACUAACAUUUUGGUACUUGAGUGCAUUUAAAAUUUUAAUAUUCUUAUUUUACAUAUAUUAAUUAAAAAAUGAGAGAGGUGGAGAGAAAUGGAGGAGUCUCUUCUGUGUCAGUGGAGCGUGAUUAGAUCUCUUUUGGCAAUUCUUCAAUGGUGGAGUUUCAAUGUCACAGUGAUUGUAAUGAACAAGUGGAUCUUCCAAAAACUUGAUUUUAAGUUUCCUCUUACCAUAUCCUGUAUUCAUUUCAUCUGCUCUGGAGCUAUCCUGGUUAUUAAAGAAUUGAAGCUUGCGAACUGCGUGAACUCGUCGACGAAGGAUACGAUCUAUUAGGAUGAGUGCCAACGCCUCUGUAUUCAAUGCUCUGUUUAUCUUCAAAGGGAGUUUUAUUUUUCUAUUUUAAUUUAUUUUAUUGUUAUUAUUAUUUUAUUUUAGUGACUGGUUUUCUAGGUGAUUGAGCUAUUUCUUUUAGUAUUCUUUUGUUGUCUUUGGUGUGUGGUGUGUAUUCUGUACACUUAUGUUAUUCGUUUCUCUUUUAAUUCAAAUUUAGCUGCUGUGUUUUUUAACUCGAUGGUUCUUUGAAUCAAUCUUAAGUACCCGAUUAGCAUCAGUGGCGCCAGCAUUUUGGUGAGGUUGACGAGUAAGAACGAUUGGUAUCCGUCUUGAAGAAGUUCAAUUUCUGAUGUCGAUGGUGGUGGCGGAAUAAGUGGAGGCGUUUUUAGUGUUUUGUCCUAUACUUUAUUUCUUUUUUAUGGUGAUCUAUUAGUGGGGCGGAAGUGACAACUCUCUAGUUUCAACUGGGUUCUUUUUCAGUUUUCCAGGUAGUAGCAGUUGCGUUACUAGUAGAUUUGCAUUGGGCUCAAAAUGUGGGACUUCCCGUGGAGAGGGUUUUUUCUGAUUCACUUUCUUUGGUCUCAACUUUGGAGGGUCCGACAUUGUAUUUGCAUGAACUGGGGGUUUUCUUUUCUGAUAUUAAAGUUUUAUUGUCUAGUUUUCCUGGGGCAUCUCUCUCAUGCGCAGCAACUUUAUUGUUGAGGCUCAUAGAUUGGCUAAGCAUGCCUUUAGGAUAGACAAUGAACUUUCUUGGAUGAAAGAAAUCUCCCCACCUUUUGUGUAACUUUUGUUACCCUUGUUAUUUUAACCUUUAUUGGUUACCACAAAAAAAAAAAAAGAAAUUUAAUAUUCUUGAUUGUUGUUGAUUAUUACGAAUUAUUAUGCAGUAAUAUUUAUUUA